UUGAAGUUUAAAGAAAAUAAAAAAGCAAGAAAGAGGAAUUAGGGUUAGUAUUUUUACAUGUGGCUAUUCAGCUUCUGAAGUCUCAGCGCCGCUCUCCUUCACUUGCGACGGCGGAGAGCUCAACCUCCUCCUCCGAUCAAGAUAUCAUGGCGGUGCGGCGGAGGCCCUCCCUUUUUCUCUCCGAUUCAUACACUCACGGUGCCACCACGCCUUUUCUCAUCUCCAAUUUCUCUCGGUUUCGUUUUCUUUUUCUUCCGAUUGGAGAUUUGAUGAAGUCAAUAGGGAUUGAAGAUGAACUUGAAGGUUCGCGAAGGAGCUCUUACGAUCUUUUUGGAUUUUCUUUCUGCGAAGAUUGAGUGGAUUCAAGAUGAUUGGAGGAGCGAAGCUGAUGUUGAUUGUGAUUGAAGUUUGUUGGAGCAAGAUUGAAGGAGAUUGAUGACCAGGUGAAUAACGCUGAAGAUUUGCGUAUCGGAUUCGAAGAAGAUCGCCGUGUUAAGCUUGUAUGCAGAAGAACGCUAAAGAUUGUGGCAGGAAGAUGAAGAGGAAGCUUCUGACGUUUGAAACGAAAUUCUGUUGAAUCAGUGGAGGUGAGUUGAAGAUUGAAAGUAUGCGUGAGUUUCUGAAUAUUGGUUAUGGAUCAUGAAUCUCUCUGUGACAGGUUCUAAUAUUCUCUUUUCUCCUUUUUUAUUAUAAAUCAUUUUGAGGAAUGGAGUAUAGUGAAGGUGAUGAAUUGUGUGGUUGCUGAAAGUGAUGUGAUGAAUGGUUCAGAGUGUGUGAUGAAGUGAAGGAGAUGGAAACAGAGUGAGGAAGAUUGAUGAGAUUGGGAGAAUGGUGGAGAUGGUGAUGAAGGUUAUGGUGGAUGAAUGGGUGUGUGUAUGAACUUUAGACUCGGCACUUCUUCUCUCAAAGUUUGCAAGCGAAACAAUGAGAAGGUUUCUUGGUGGUACAAACAAAUAUGGCAGUGCUGUAGAUAACCUGGAGCUGUGACUGAAAUACAAUGUGGAUGGAGGACCGAAACUUAUUGGCCAUGAUCAUGAGGUGUGGUUGUUAUGUUAUGAUUCUGUUUGGAGUUUUUUGAUAGCUAGUUAUGGGAUUUGUUAUGGGCUGAUAACAAACUGUUAGGAAGUGGUGUUUUGAAAAGUUAUGAACUGAAGCUGAGUCUUGUAUGAAUUUUAU